UAUCACCCAAUAGCCAAUGCAUUUCACUGAAUUUCAACACCCUACAAAAUAAAAAUAAAAUUUCAACCAAUUCUCAAUAACCUCCUAUCUAAAAUCUUAAAACUGAAUUUCAGCUCAUAAGUUCCCUUGUACAAAACCGGCUGCCACUUACACAAAACAAAACGAAUCCCAAUGUCAUCUUAUAAUCAGGAAUGGAACUUCUCAAUAAUUGAUUU
rnacentral:lncRNA from 1 species